rnacentral:tRNA from 1 species
GGCGAGGUAGUUGAAGUAAAAUGUUAAAUUGUAAGUUUAAUGGUGGGUGGUUCUCCCUUGCUA